rnacentral:rRNA from 1 species
UAAGUAGAUAGUGAAAUCUGGUGGCUCAACCAUUCAGACUAUUAUCUAAACUGCUCCGCUCGAGAGCGUUAGGGGUAGCUGGAAUUUCUAGUGUAGGAGUGAAAUCCGUAGAUAUUAGAAAGAACACCGAUAGCGUAGGCAGGCUACUGGGACGUUUCUGACACUAAGGCACGAAAGCGUGGGGAGCAAACGGGAUUAGAUACCCCGGUAGUCCACGCUGUAAACGAUGGAUACUA